AGCGCACAUUCAUUUUCUUUUCGGCUUAGUCCCUUUAUUAAUCAGGAGUCGCUCCUGAUUAAUAAAGGGACUAAGCCGAAAAGAAAAUGAAUGUGCGCUAGC
rnacentral:pre_miRNA from 1 species